CCCAUUGUGGGGCUUGAACUCACGACCCUGAGAUCAAGACCUGAGCUGAGAUCAAGAGUUGGAAGCUCAACCUACGGAACCACACAGGUGCCCCAACACCUAUUUUUUUUAAACAAAGAAUGAAAAUUCCUGAAGAGAGCUGUUCGUUUUAAGCCUCAGUAAAGUGUCAUCCAAUUCUAUAUGCUUAAUGCCUUCUCUGUCUUCCUUUCUUCACCUAAGGUACGUCGAUUCUUUUAACAUUUCCUUUUAGGUUCAAUGCUCCAAUUCUUUAACUAAAUUUGUCUUUUCUCUGCAAUUUUUUCUAGGCCCUCUGUGUGUCUCAGGAUCUCAGAGCCUCCAAUUCUGGACAAAGUCACUAAAUGAGAGCUUGCCCCAACCCUUCAGAUCUGCUGGGACCUCGGGGAGAGGGUUACCCCCACUGCUUGUAGGACCCCCCAGUGGAUGAGCAGAUUCCUCAUAUCCUCAGCCCUCCAGCCAUCACCUGUCAUGGCUGAAUGUGAUUUGUCACCUCACCCCCCAGCCUGCCCCGCCUCGGCUGAAGCAAGAACACGAGAGAGAGCCUGUGUGUGUGCUUACAUCCAGCACAGAACUAAGAUAAAUGUGGAACCCAUCGCUCCUCCAGCCGGUUGCGGGGUCAUGGCGCGCCCUCUGGUGGCCCGUCUAUGAGCAAGCUUGAAGGAACUACC